rnacentral:rRNA from 1 species
CACGUGGGAACCUACCUAGGGGUACGGAAUAACUCAGGGAAACUUGUGCUAAUACCGUAUACGACCUCAGGGUGAAAGAUUUAUCGCCCCUAGAUGGGCCCGCGUUGGAUUAGCUAGUUGGUGGGGUAAAGGCCUACCAAGGCGACGAUCCAUAGCUGGUCUGAGAGGAUGAUCAGCCACACUGGGACUGAGACACGGCCCAGACUCCUACGGGAGGCAGCAGUAGGGAAUCUUGGACAAUGGGCGAAAGCCUGAUCCAGCCAUGCCGCGUGAGUGAUGAAGGCCUUAGGGUUGUAAAGC